GGUGGCAAUUAAGUCAGACCGUAUUGGAUAUGUGCUGGGUACGAUAAUUCAAAUAUAAGUUAUUUAUUAAAUUGAUCAAAAAUUUAAAACUAAACCCAUCCUACCUGUUUGAUAAUCUAAUUUGAUCCAUUUAAUUAAUUUAUUAUAUAUAUUAAAUAAAUUAAAAAUAAAUUAAACAGAUCUUAAAUGAAUUAAAUAGAUCGAAUUAGAUGGAUCAAAAAUAAAUUAAAUAAAUUUUAAAUAUAUU
rnacentral:lncRNA from 1 species